GAUGAAGAACGUAGCUAAAUGCGAUAAGUAAUGUGAAUUGCAGAAUUCAGUGAAUCAUCGAAUCUUUGAACGCACAUUGCGCCCCUUGGUAUUCCGAGGGGCAUGCCUGUUCGAGCGUCAUAUUAACCACUCCCGCUUGCGGGGUCUUGGGCUUCGCCUCCGGGCGGGCCUUAAAAUCAGUGGCGGUGCCGUCGGGCUCUACGCGUAGUAAAUUUUCUCGCGAUAGGGUCCCGGUGGAUGCUUGCCAACAACCCCCAACUUCUUAAGGUUGACCUCGGAUCAGGUAGGGAUACCCGCUGAACUUAAGCAUAUCAAUAAGCGGAGGA
rnacentral:misc_RNA from 1 species